rnacentral:rRNA from 1 species
AGUGAACGCUGGCGGUAGGCCUAACACAUGCGAGUCGAACGGCAGCACAGUAAGAGCUUGCUCUUACGGGUGGCGAGUGGCGGACGGGUGAGGAAUACAUCGGAAUCUACUUUUUCGUGGGGGAUAACGUAGGGAAACUUACGCUAAUACCGCAUACGACCUACGGGUGAAAGCAGGGGAUCUUCGGACCUUGCGCGAUUGAAUGAGCCGAUGUCGGAUUAGCUAGUUGGCGGGGUAAAGGCCCACCAAGGCGACGAUCCGUAGCUGGUCUGAGAGGAUGAUCAGCCACACUGGAACUGAGACACGGUCCAGACUCCUACGGGAGGCAGCAGUGGGGAAUAUUGGACAAGGGGCGCAAGCCUGAUCCAGCCAUACCGCGUGGGUGAAGAAGGCCUUCGGGUUGUAAAGCCCUUUUGUUGGGAAAGAAAAGCAGCAGGUUAAUACCCCGCUGUUCUGACGGUACCCAAAGAAUAAGCACCGGCUAACUUCGUG